rnacentral:rRNA from 1 species
CGCGUGCGGGGAAGAAGGNCCUUUCGGGGUUGUAAAACCGCUUUCAGGAGGGGACGAAAGCCACUNGGGUUAAUAGGCCCAGAGGNNGGACGGUAACCUCCAGAAGAAGCCCCGGCUAACUACGUGGCCAGCAGCCCGCGGUAAUACGUAGGGGGCAAGCGUUGUCCGGAUUUAUGGGGCGUAAAGCGCGNGUAGGGCGGCCAUGCAGGUCCGCUGUGAAAACUGGAGGCUCAACCUCCAGAGGUCGGUGGAAACCGCAUGGCUAGAGUCCGGAAGAGGAGACUGGAAUUCCCGGUGUAGCGGUGAAAUGCGCAGAUAUCGGGAAGAACACCCGUGGCGAAGGCGGGUCUCUGGGACGGUACUGACGCUGAGACGCGAAAGCGUGGGGAGCGAACAGGAUUAGAUACCCUGGUAGUCCACGCCGUAAACGAUGGGCACUAGGUGUGGGAGGUGUCGACUCCUCCCGUGCCGAAGCUAACGCAUUAANGCCCCGCCUGGGA